CCUACGGGCGGCAGCAGUAGGGAAUCUUUCACAAUGGGCGAAAGCCUGAUGGAGCAACGCCGCGUGCAGGAUGAAGGCCUUCGGGUUGUAAACUGCUUUUAUAAGCGAGAAAUAUGAUGGUAACUUAUGAAUAAGGAUCGGCUAACUACGUGCCAGCAGCCGCGGUCAUACGUAGGAUCCGAGCAUUAUCCGGAGUGACUGGGUGUAAAGAGUUGCGUAGGUGGCAUAAUAAGUAGCUAGUGAAAUCUGGUGGCGCAACCAUUCAGACUAUUAGCUAAACUGUUAAGCUCGAGACCGUUAGGGGGAACUGGAAUUGCUAGUGUAGGGGUGAAAUCCGUAGAUAUUAGAAGGAACACCAAUAGCGUAGGCAGGUUGCUGGGACGGUUCUGACACUAAGGCACGAAAGCGUAGGGAGCAAACGGGAUUAGAUACCCGAGUAGUC
rnacentral:rRNA from 1 species